ACUGUAUAAUUAAUUAAUGUAAAAUUAUAAUAAUAUAACAUUAAUAAAUGUUCAUUGUCCUUUUUACUAAAUGUAAUAAGUAUUUUUUAAAAUUAGAUUUUAACGGAUGUUUGAAUUGUUUCUGCGCAGUUGGUCAUUAACGGUUAAUGGCGUGUUUUUGGAAUAUUAUUGGCGUUGUUUUGAAUUCUGUGGUUCUGGACUAGUUUGGGGUGGUUCGUUUCCAUUAUCCGUCUGCUACCGAGACUGAAGUGUCCAUCAUUAUUUCUAAUUGGUUAAAACAUGCGAAGAAGAGAUGUAGCUAGUGUUGUAAAUAAAAAAAAGCAUGUGUUUUUUUCUCUCAAAUAAA